rnacentral:rRNA from 1 species
AUACGUAGGGGGCGAGCGUUGUCCGGAAUGAUUGGGCGUAAAGGGCGCGUAGGCGGCCCGGUAAGUCUGGAGUGAAAGUCCUGUUUUUAAGAUGGGAAUUGCUUUGGAUACUGUCGGGCUUGAGUGCAGGAGAGGUAAGUGGAAUUCCCAGCGUAGCGGUGAAAUGCGUAGAGAUUGGGAGGAACACCAGUGGCGAAGGCGACUUACUGGACUGUAACUGACGCUGAGGCGCGAAAGUGUGGGGAGCAAACAGGAUUAGAUACCCUGGUAGUCCACGCUGUAAACGAUGAUUACUAGGUGUGGGGGGACUGACCCCUUCCGUGCCGCAGUUAACACAAUAAGUAAUCCACCUGGGGAGUACGGCCGCAAGGUUGAAACUUAAAGGAAUUGACGGGG